GACGAACGCUGGCGGCGUGCUUAGCACAUGCAAGUCGAACGGUAAGGCCCUUCGGGGUACACGAGUGGCGAACGGGUGAGUAACACGUGGGUGAUCUGCCCUGCACUUCGGGAUAAGCCUGGGAAACUGGGUCUAAUACCGGAUAGGACCCUGGGAUGCAUGUCCUGGGGUGGAAAGCUUUUGCGGUGUGGGAUGGGCCCGCGGCCUAUCAGCUUGGUGGUGGGGUGAUGGCCUACCAAGGCGACGACGGGUAGCCGGCCUGAGAGGGUGACCGGCCACACUGGGACUGAGAUACGGCCCAGACUCCUACGGGAGGCAGCAGUGGGGAAUAUUGCACAAUGGGCGCAAGCCUGAUGCAGCGACGCCGCGUGAGGGAUGACGGCCUUCGGGUUGUAAACCUCUUUCAGCACCGACGAAGCGCAAGUGACGGUAGGUGCAGAAGAAGGACCGGCCAACUACGUGCCAGCAGCCGCCGUAA
rnacentral:rRNA from 1 species